AGACAUAUCAUAACGGAGGAUCAUUA
rnacentral:rRNA from 1 species